GGAGAGGUGGCAGAGUGGUCGAAUGCGCUCGACUUGAAAUCGAGUGACCCAAAAGGUCCGUGGGUUCGAAUCCCACCCUCUCCG
rfam:Microcoleus chthonoplastes PCC 7420 scf_1103659003824 genomic scaffold, whole genome shotgun sequence.